GGGCCUAUAGCUCAGUUGGUCAGAGCAGCGGACUCAUAAUCCGUUGGUCGCAGGUUCAAGUCCUGCUGGGCCCACCA
rnacentral:tRNA from 1 species